AAAAAAUGUGACCACAUUGAAUAGAGACCCAAGAAAACUAAUUAUUAGAGGAAAGGGGGGGAAAAAAGAGGACAAAUGGCCACCUGACAAGAUGAACAGGAGGGAAUUCCCUGCCUGGUGUGAAAAAUUCUUCUUUUAGCACACAGUGUGCUGUGGCUGACAACUGUGUGUCUACAGGUGAAGUUUCCAAGCUCCAUCAGGUCGAUGGGAGACGCCUGUGCAGCCAUUUUCAGAUCUCUCCAGAAACGUUCAAUCUGAGUCAAAUCUGAACUCUGGCUUGGUCACUCCAGGACAUUCACAGAGUGGUUCUGAAGCCACUCCUUUGAGAUUUCAGCCAUUUGCUUUGGGUGUUGUCCUACUGAAAAAUUAACCAGCACCUCAGUCUGAGGUCAGGAGCACACUGGAGAAAAUUUUACUACAGGAUAAAUCUGUACAUUGCUGCAUUCAUUUGUCCUUCUGGUCUGACUAGUCUUCAAGUUACUGCUGAUGCGGAAC